rnacentral:rRNA from 1 species
GUAGGGAAUAUUGGGCAAUGGUCGGAAGACUGACCCAGCCAUGCCGCGUGCAGGAAGACGGCCCUCUGGGUUGUAAACUGCUUUUAUCUGGGAAGAAAAAGGCCAUGCGUGGCAAAUUUCCGGUACCAGAUGAAUAAGCACCGGCUAACUCCGUGCCAGCAGCCGCGGUAAUACGGAGGGGGCGAGCGUUGUCCGGAUGUAUUGGGUUUAAAGGGUGCGUAGGCGGCUGAUUAAGUCAGCGGUGAAAGACUUCGGCUUAACCGGAGCAGUGCCGUUGAUACUGGUUGGCUUGAGUGUCGGAGGGGUACAUGGAAUUGAUGGUGUAGCGGUGAAAUGCAUAGAUACCAUCAGGAACACCGAUAGCGAAGGCAUUGUACUGGCCGACAACUGACGCUGAUGCACGAAAGUGUGGGGAUCGAACAGGAUUAGAAACCCCGGUAGUCC